rnacentral:rRNA from 1 species
GACGAACGCUGGCGGCGUGCUUAACACAUGCAAGUCGAACGUGAUUUUUGUGGAAAUUCUUUCGGGAAUGGAAAUGAAAUGAAAGUGGCGAACGGGUGAGUAACACGUGAGCAACCUACCUUACACAGGGGGAUAGCCGUUGGAAACGACGAUUAAUACCGCAUGAGACCACAGAAUCGCAUGAUAUAGGGGUCAAAGAUUUAUCGGUGUAAGAAGGGCUCGCGUCUGAUUAGCUAGUUGGAAGGGUAAAGGCCUACCAAGGCGACGAUCAGUAGCCGGUCUGAGAGGAUGAACGGCCACAUUGGAGCUGAGACACGGUCCAAACUCCUACGGGAGGCAGCAGUGGGGAAUAUUGCACAAUGGGGGGAACCCUGAUGCAGCGACGCCGCGUGAGCGAAGAAGGUUUUCGAAUCGUAAAGCUCUGUCCUAUGAGAAGAUAAUGACGGUAUCAUAGGAGGAAGCCCCGGCUAAAUACGUG